rnacentral:misc_RNA from 1 species
UUAAAGAUAGGAAUGUAAAAAAAUGUUUUGUUUCUAUUUCUCUACUUACAGAAAUUCCAUUGUUCCAAGCACUUCAGCCUGGUAUGGAAAACUUUGCAAGAUCAUCGAAAAUCAAUAAAUCAGAAAUAAUUUUAUCAUUGGAAGCUGGAAGAUUGGAUUCAAUUUUUUUCUACAAUCAUCAUUAAAAAUAUACACUACAUAUU